rfam:Cicer arietinum chromosome Ca4, whole genome shotgun sequence.
AAUCCGGUGAUGAGGACAACUUGACACUAAUUUCUUGAAUCUCUCCCAAUACUCAUGUAAUGAUUCCCUAUCAAUCUGCCUAAUGCCAGAUAUUUCUUUUCUGAUU